rnacentral:miRNA from 1 species
UUGCUCGCGAGUCAGUCGAUCCUAAGCUCAAGGAGAGAUCUUAUGUCGAUGUGGCGUGUUUACUCUUUUAUAUUUUACUAUAUGAAAUUGAAAAUACGCCCUUUGAGCGA